rnacentral:rRNA from 1 species
GACGUAGGGCGCGAGCGUUGUCCGGAUUUAUUGGGCGUAAAGAGCUCGUAGGCGGCUUGUCGCGUCGACUGUGAAAACCCGCGGCUCAACCGCGGGCCUGCAGCCGAUACGGGCAGGCUAGAGUUCGGUAGGGGAGACUGGAAUUCCUGGUGUAGCGGUGAAAUGCGCAGAUAUCAGGAGGAACACCAGUGGCGAAGGCAGGCUCG